rnacentral:rRNA from 1 species
GACGAACGCUGGCGGCGUGCUUAACACAUGCAAGUCGAACGGAAAGGCCCUGCUUUUGUGGGGUGCUCGAGUGGCGAACGGGUGAGUAACACGUGAGUAACCUGCCCUUGACUUUGGGAUAACUUCAGGAAACUGGGGCUCAUACCGGAUAGGAGCUCCUGCUGCAUGGUGGGGGUUGGAAAGUUUCGGCGGUUGGGGAUGGACUCGCGGCUUAUCAGCUUGUUGGUGGGGUAGUGGCUUACCAAGGCUUUGACGGGUAGCCGGCCUGAGAGGGUGACCGGCCACAAUGGGACUGAGAUACGGCCCAGACUCCUACGGGAGGCAGCAGUGGGGAGUAUUACACAGUGGGCGGAAGCCUGAUGCAGCAACGCCGCGUGCGGGAUGACGGCCUUCGGGUUGUAAACCGCUUUCGCCGGUGACGAAGCGUGAGUGACGGUAAUGGAUAAAGAAGCACCGGCUAACUACGUG